UGGGCGUGGGGGUGGGGGAGAAACCCAUGGUAUGCAACGCAUUUGGGAAAUCCCACAUAAUGUCCUACGAGGUGAAAUUGUGGCCAUACUACAAUACCUGCAUAUAGCUACUAGAUUAUUGAUUUCAAAAUCUUGUGGUUGUUGGCGGCUUAAAAAAUUUCUUUAUUCAUGUGCAUGUUCUGGUUUGAUUCAUUUGUGAAUCUAUGUGAAGGUGUCUGGAAAGACUAAUCAUGGUUCAAAUAGGAAGGUUGUUACUCAUUUAAAAAGAUGUAAGUACUUGUUCUAACACUGAUUCAUCAACAUGAUAGUGCACUAUUCUUUAAAAAAACUUGGCGGUG
rnacentral:lncRNA from 1 species